UGUUGAAACACCUGUUUUCAUACGAUCACCAAUGUUAAGCAAAAUUGAGCCUGGUUAGUACCUUGAUGGGUGACUGCUUGGGAAUAACAGGUGCUAUA